UCAGAGUGACUAAGAUGUACAGAAAUGU
rnacentral:piRNA from 1 species